rnacentral:lncRNA from 1 species
CCUCUUCUGCCUCCUCCCGCGCGCGCGCGCCUGCGGGAAAGACGCGCGCGCUGGGGCGGAGACCCCCAAAAUUUCCAGAAAACUUUCGCCCGGCGAGUAGCAAAAAAGGUGCAGAUCUUUCGUCGACGUCUGAGACUGGGGGUAAACAUAACCUCACCGCGGCGUGCGCCACAUUUUCGCAAUGUUGUACCGUGGCGGUCCUCCGACGGAACCAUGGCGUCGGGUGCCCCUAAGAAGAACAGGCCCAGCGCCGAUGCCCCGUCUAGGCCCGAGCACUUGUGCGAAAUAAAAAAGCUAUGCGACGGCGGCGGUGAGCGUUAUGGUGGUGCCUUGCGCUGCGAAUAUACGAAAACCUGG